UACGGAAUGUGCAAACGUUAUUCGGAAUCACUGGGCUUAAAGAGUCCGUAGGCGGCAUGUUAGGUGAGGUGUGAAAUCCCCCGGCUCAACCGAGGAAUUGCGCUUCAAACCGGCGUGCUUGAGGAAGAUAGAGGUAAGCGGAACUUACGGUGGAGCGGUGAAAUGCGUUGAUAUCGUAAGGAACACCUGUGGCGAAAGCGGCUUACUGGGUCUUUUCUGACGCUGAUGCACGAAAGCCAGGGGAGCAAACGGG
rnacentral:rRNA from 1 species